UACGAAGGGGGCUAGCGUUGUUCGGAAUUACUGGGCGUAAAGGGCGCGCAGGCGGCCCUCCAAGUCAGGCGUGAAAGCCCCGGGCUCAACCCGGGAACAGCGCUUGAGACUGGGGGGCUUGAGUUCGGGAGAGGAGAGUGGAAUUCCCAGUGUAGAGGUGAAAUUCGUAGAUAUUGGGAAGAACACCGGUGGCGAAGGCGGCUCUCUGGACCGACACUGACGCUGAGGCGCGAAAGCCAGGGGAGCAAACGGG
rnacentral:rRNA from 1 species